rnacentral:rRNA from 1 species
CUACGUGCCAGCAGCCGCGGUAAUACGGAAGGUUCGGGCGUUAUCCGGAUUUAUUGGGUUUAAAGGGAGCGUAGGCCGGAGAUUAAGUGUGUUGUGAAAUGUAGACGCUCAACGUCUGACUUGCAGCGCAUACUGGUUUCCUUGAGUACGCACAACGUUGGCGGAAUUCGUCGUGUAGCGGUGAAAUGCUUAGAUAUGACGAAGAACUCCGAUUGCGAAGGCAGCUGACGGGAGCGCAACUGACGCUGAAGCUCGAAGGUGCGGGUAUCGAACAGGAUUAGAUACCCUGGUAGUCCGCACAGUAAACGAUGGAUGCCCGCUGUUGGUACCUGGUAUCAGCGGCUAAGCGAAAGCAUUAAGCAUCCCACCUGGGGAGUACGCCGGCAACGGUGAAACUCAAAGGAAUUGACGGGGGCCCGCACAAGCGGUGGAGUAUGUGGUUUAAUUCGACGCAACGCGAAGAACCUUACCAGGUCUUGACAUUGAUGGACAGAACUAGAGAUAG